CGUGUAGGCGGUUGGUCAAGUCUGGUGUGAAAGCCCGGGGCUCAGCUCCGGAAGUGCAUCGGAAACUAGCCAACUGGAGCGCGAUAGAGGAGGGUGGAAUUCCUGGUGUAGCGGUGAAAUGCGUAGAUAUCAGGAGGAACACCGGCGGCGAAGGCGGCCCUCUGGAUCGUUGCUGACGCUGAGACGCGAAAGCGUGGGGAGCAAACAGGAUUAGAUACCCUGGUAGUCCACGCUGUAAACUAUGGGUACUAGGUGUUCGGGGUGUUGACCCUCUGAGUGCCGCAGCUAACGCAUUAAGUACCCCGCCUGGGGACUACGGCCGCAAGGUUAAA
rnacentral:rRNA from 1 species